rnacentral:lncRNA from 1 species
GUUAGUGGAGCGUGUGUGGUUAACCGGCACACUAACUCGUAUUUAACAAGGUAGGCAAAGGGUAACUUAAUGUUUAUCAUAGUAUCGAUGGAGCGUGUGUGGUUAACCGGCACAUCGAUUGAGGGGUAAACACUUAAGGGUACCAAGUAAUUUGCAUGGUUACUUCACACCUUGUUUUGUGAUCCUCGGCAUCCCAGUCACAAAACCUGAAGGGCACACUCGAGAUUGAAACAUGCCAUUGAACAGUUCAAUGAAUCUCAAAGAUCUAGGAGUUUCAAAACCAAUUAAAACCUAAUAAUACAUUUCGUUUAUCUUGGUGGAAAUUGGUGAAUCGUCAUUCACCUACCUUCAAAUAUUUUAUAGCUUGGAUUACGGCAUACCUCUUCUAAGUUAUAAAAUAGUUUGUUGGGUCCUAGCCUUAAUAUUUCAUAUUGGGUGUCAUAUUAAGGACUUUAAAUCAACUAUCUUGAAUAUCUCCCAAAAGAUGUCUGGUUUAGACACCUAUGAUCUUCCCAAAUCUCUUGAAACAAGGUUUCCUAAUGAAGAUGAUGUCCCAUGGAUAUCAUACUUCUUCACCUCUUCAAAUUAUUCUCCCUAACCCACAAGUUCUUGAAAAGUUUAAGGUCACUCAGGCCCUAUUGGCAAGGCAAGGUCUAGGUGUGGUCACAUCUUGGAGAUGUAGUCACAUAUUGACAAGCCGGGAGAGUUGGGUGUCAAAGUCUUGAGAAAGUUGGUGGUUCAAUCACUUUCUAAGUCACAUAGUGAGUUCCUUUGGGACACCUAUGAAACAGACUAUGACAAGACCCUUAAUGAUCUUAUCUAUUUGUUAAGAUCAACUUCCUAAAACUUUAUGGACAUUGACAAUGAUGACAUUGGAUAUCCAGUAAAGCAUUCUCUUCCCAAUGGAAAGGGAUCGGCUAUAGUCAACUCGGUUGACCAAAUGGUAAAGAGAAAAGCUAAGUCUGUGAUAGUCCUGUGUACCAUUAUCAAAGGGUCCAUAUGUUUGUAUUGCCAAAGAAAGGGCAUUGGUUGCGAAGCUGCCAAAUUUACCUAAGGAUGUUAAAGUCAAUAAGUUUGACUCUACUUCAGGUAAAAUCCACUAUCUAACUCUGUUAAGUUUCUAUUCUGAGAUUCUUGAUACAUGAUGUGACUGGGUCACAUGUUGAUGUUUUAAGAAUCAAAGAAAAGUAAAGAAACUUAAAGAAAGAAUAUGCUGAAUCUGAUCACGUAGAUGGAUUUCUAUCGCGUAGCUUGAAGAUCAGAUUCGUGAGCCACUUCUUAGGAGUUAUGAGAUAUUGCUUAGGAAUAGAUAACAACAAGUUUUCAUAUGGAUUGUAAGGAUAAGUUUUUCCGCAAAGUUUUAAAAUAAAAGAAAAUUUUAGAUUUUAUUUAUUUUAAAAUAUCCUUACAAUGGCAUUUGAGGAAAAAUUGUUGCUUAUAUGAUUCCAUUAAUAGCAAGAGUGGAAAUAUGAAAUUGAUUCUUUCAUUUGUGGUAAUGUCUAAAUUUACCAAAUAAGGAAAGAUUCUCAUCACCCAAGUUUCAAUUGGACCGGAACUUGGAAUCAUGCAAGUUGUAUAGCAUGAUGAAUGAGAACUUUCUAGUAUUGGAAAAUUAAGACUAAUUACUUGUUCACAUGGAUGUUUGAGUCAAGUAACGGACUAAGGGAUCGCGUACACAUUCUUAUGCACUGAUUAAGUCCACCACAAAAGAUCGAUAAGAUUAUUCGUCAUAAUUUACUAAAGCUUAGUAAAUAUGGUUAUACUUACAGGCUAAAGUAUAAUUCUGAGACAUUGGAAAAGUUUCAAUGUAAGGUAGAGCGAAUAAGAAGAAUCAACUUAGGCAGAAGGAUAAAAGUUUCUCAAAUCUGAAAAGAUGGGAGAGUACUUUAGUAUCAGUUUUGUGAUCAUCUUAAUGAUUAAGAAACCAUAGCACAAUUAGUUCUCUAAGGAAAUCUUAGUGCAUUCUUAUGACUAAGAAGAGGGAUCUUGAAUUGUUGAAAUGGUUAAAUCAAGAAGAUGAGUCAUACUUCGUUCCAAUACAAGUCUUAGAGUCAUACUCCAAGAUUGUAACUUGAGUGACAUGUCUUAAAGAAGGUUUAAAACACUUGUCAAAUGUAAGAGUAAAAGUUUUCUACUCUUGUACAUUUGAAAUUGGUAAGUUGUGAUGUUUUGGAUAAAACAAAGACCAACUUAGGCCAAUUGUGUGAAGUGUUUGUCUUGAUUAGAAUCCACACUAUCUCUUGAAUAACUGACGAGAAAGUCUUAUAUGUGAAGAGGACAGUAGGAGUCUUAAAGGUCUUGAAAGUCUCAAGAACUAAUCAAUAAUAAAACCUGAAGUUCUUCACUAGCACACUACUUGAGGCUUAUAACCUAUCGUGUUGACAUAUUUUGUGCCCAUUCCAGUUAAAGUUGGCUUUGCAUAUGAGUUCUUAGAGUUCUCAAUUGGUUGCACAACAACUUGGAAGCAAUGGUAGGCCCUUGAGCUGCCAGGUGGCAAGAAAUUAAGAUUGAGUUCAGUCCAUAUGAGUUUGGAUUUGUCAUUAUCCUUGUCUUGUGACUAUGGUUUUGACAAUUCACAUGGAUAAGAACACAUACACCAUUAAAUCUAAGUGUCAUAAGGUUUCUCUCCGAUUCAUGAAAAUGAUGGUGAGGAAACACUUUCACUAAGUAGAUUGUAGCUAGAUAGCAAUUGUGAUAUUUGCAUUCUCAAAGUCGUUAGUGGAGCGUGUGUGGUUUACCGGCACACUAACCUGGACUUUUGAGAAGUGGGAAAAAGGUCUAACCAUUAUGAUUACGGCAUCCCUCUUCAUAAUUGUUUAGAUACACAAGUGUGCUAUCUAAGGGAAGGUGUAUGAUUUUGAUACAGUUUUAUCAAAACAAUCUAGUAUCAGAAAUCUGAACUUUGGUAAGAAAGUCAAUGAAGUAUUGAUUUCUAGAAGUCCAGCUGAUUUCUGAGUACAUGUCAAAGCUAGUGGGAGCAUAAGUGUUAUGCUAAUAAUCAUCAUGUUAGUGGGAGCAUGAUAAUUAUGAUAAGUAUUGCAAGUUAGCAAUGUUAAUUAUAGAAAACAAAAGUUUCAAUUGGGAAAAAGUUGUUUUGCUAUAAUUAAGGGAGAGGAAAUUAUACUUCAUCUCAAAUCUAUAAGCUUAGAUCGUGAGGUUUUAAUCAUUUAGUCAAGGAUAUAUAUGAAUUUCAUGUUGGAAUGGCUCAACAUAAGGAAAUUCUGUAUAUGGGUCCAUUAUUUGCGUUCUAAAAUUCGAUUAUGAUUACGGCAUCCCUUUUCAUAAUCUGAAUUAUGAGAACUUGGCAAAUUGAAAUGGAAAUGUUAUAGCAAAAGACUGGUUUAGUCUUUAUGUGAGACAUCAUGAAUCGUGUCCCAUAUGCUUCGGAUAUAGGAUCGAUUACAUGUGCUAUAUUCAUCCGUUCUAAAAUUUUCCAAAUGCCUGGGGCAUUAAGAAGGGAAAAGGUUUAGAACUGGAUAUGACUAAAAGGAUUAAACAAUUGUCGAGGACAAUCUAAGGUUUACCAAAGAUUGGUUGCUCAAGGACAGUUGGAAGUAUAGUGAUAAUUCUGGAAGGACCAUAUUGACAUAAUCUGUAAGGAGGCAACUCUUGUUCAGAAGUGAUAGUCAAAAUGGAAUCUGGAAAUGUUUCAAAGUUAGAAUUUUCAAUCUGUUUAAGAUUAGGAAACUUAAUGCAAGAAGGAUGUUUCCAAGGAGCUGAUCUCCUUUGGAAUACUCUGUAAUGAUUGUUGUCAAGUCUUUCUGACUUUGUGCAUAAUCAUUACAAGAGGAUCAAUGCAUAUAAGUUUAGAAUCUAACAGAUUUCAGUAAAUGGCAUGAAUUUGGAAUUCUUGCAUUUGCAGUAAGGAUUUGGGAGUGUGAAAAGAGAAUCAUUGAAGUUAUGUUCAAUUGAUCUAGUUCACAAAGUAAAGAUCAUAGACAAACAUAGUAUGCAUACUUGGUGUGUGGCAUGACUAGUGUUUAAGAAAACAUAGUGUACAUGCUUGGAGCAUGGGACAACUAUUGUUUUAAAUUCAAGAAUAAAGUUGAUAGCUGAAACAGUAUACAAUGAAUAAUGUGUAAUCAUAUGGUGAUAAAUAAAAGGUGUUUUAUUUAUGUUCAAAGGGUUGAUACCAUAUUGGAUUCAAUUAUUAUUGUGUUUCACUUUGCAUGUUUUGACUUCCCGAAUAAACUAGGUUAUUCUUCCGGAAUGACUAAGUUAUUCAAACCAUCCACAGUCGGUCAUAUGUUGGAAGUAGAUAUGAAUUAAGACUGUCAUGGGUUGGCUUGUAGAGGUCUAAGGUGUUGGACAAAGGGCUACAACACUCAUGAGUGCUCAUAAGUUCUGAGUAUUGGAUUCAACCCGCGCUCAUUGGAAUCACUUCAUGGAUUUUAUCACGAGUGAUCAUGAGACGAUAAUAUCUUAUAUUCUUCAAACCUAGAGAUAUGAGUUGUUACUAUGAGUUGAUAGUACAUUGAUUGCACGAAAACGCAUUUGGUAACUCGGUGCUAUAAAACGUGCCUUUGUGUAUGAUUCAACAAGUAGUAGAACAAGCCAUAUGAGUCGAAGUUUAUCCAUUCCUUUUACCUUCGGGAUAAAAGCGAUAUCUGUGGGCCCCUCGAUGAUUUGAUGAUGACAAAUGGAAGUGCUCGGCCGGGCCAGGACUGAUUUGAUUUGUUCAAUUAGUCAGUCGUCAUAAAUCGGAAAUCGGGAAACAACAAAUGGACAGAGAGAAUGAUUAUAAUCCAUGUCUCAGUCCAUAUGAUAUCUAGAAUGGAGGAAUAUAUGAUCCCUUAUCUAAUGGACAAGUCACUGACAAAGGUCAGAGUUCAUCUACAAGGUCAGAGUUCGACAGAAGCUUUUGAGAGCUACGAUUGCCAGUUGGUUCCUGAAGUCAUACGCAAUAAUAGUUUUAGACUUAUCCAAGUGGGAGACUGUUGGAUUAAUGUCUAAGUCCAUAACUAUAAUUGGUAAGACUUGACCCGACCCGGCAUGGUCCAUUUGGGUUGCAUGGCAUCAUGCACUUGGAUAGACUAUAAUGAGAGAAAUAAGACACUUAUGGUUAUUAAUAUAUUAUAAGUUCUAGUAUAUUAAUAAUAAGAAUAAUAAGAUUAUUUAAUUAGUAUUGAUCAAGAAUUAAUCUAGGAUUAAUUAAGUGAUCAAAAGAAGACUAAUUAAAUAUAUGGGUUGAUUGUGUAAAUCAUCCAUACUUGUAUAGUGGGCUAAUGCUCCAUGGAUAAUCAAGUUGGGCUAAAACCCAUAGGAUGGUCCAUGGAUGCUCCAUGGUGUAUUUGAACCCAUGGAUCCAAGGAAAUGGAAAGUCAUGACAAUUAGGAUUUACCCUAAUUGUAACACUAUAUAAAGAUCUUAUUCUUGACAAAAUCGGCGACUAGUAUCAUUCUAGAAAGGGCUAGCCGAUUUUCAUGAAGUGUAGAAUUCUCUCAAGUUAUUCCACUUGUAUUUGGUGUUGUGUGAACCAUUUGAGGUGUCACACUUGGGGCACUUGGCACUCAAGCUUCAUGAAGACUUUCUACAUGAAAGAGGUAUGUAUUCUAUCUUAUUAUAUUCAUUAUUUUAUUUGCUAGAUUAGGAUAAUACCUUGGAUGUUCAUAUUUGUAUGUAUAAUAGAGAAAACAUAGAUCCAAGGUAUUUAGGGUUGCAUGUACACUUAGGAGUGUUAGAAUGCUCAAAACCCAACAUGAUAUCCAUUCAGAUGUACUCCCGGUCCCCGACUGGUAUUACCCGAUCCAAGCAGAUUAAUCCUAUGAGACACUCCGAACUGAUGAGAUCACAAGGAUCCUCUGAAUUUUAUCCGAUUUCUAAUAACAACUUCCGAUCAAAUCAAAAUACACCGGAGUCUUCAGCCUAUUCCAGCAACAUGUUCAAUACUUGGGAACAUACCUAUUGAUUGAUAUAGCAUAACAACAUACUCAAUACUUGCACAUAAAUCUGCAAACACAUACAGAGUCUUCAGCAUGACUGGACCACCUCACUAGGCCUUCAGUCAUCUGGACCACUCUAAACUGUUGAGCAUCUCCUUGGACCACCCCCUUGGUGAUCUUUCUAAUACAUACUGUUCUCACCCACUUGGGGUUCCAAACUCCUGAUCCAUUUUGUGGAUUCUAACCUCGGCCUAGCCUUAGGCCUCAUGUUGAUCGUCCAUCCUCUCGGAAAUCCUUGGUCUGUUCCAUGACCCGUGUGUCUACCACAUAUGCUAAUAACCCGCACACCUGUGUAGAAAGUAUUGCCAAGCCCUGGCAGCUAACAAAACCCUCAAUCUAUCAAUCCAAAAACCUUCAGAGUCAAGCACACCCUCGACCGAAUACUCUAAUGGAACUCAUUUCAUGAAUAGAGCUCCAACCUGAUUCCCUAAUUCCUGUUAUCAUCAACCGAGAAGACAUGAUACCCAUUGUGGGGAGUUUUUACCGAACUCCCAACUCACAUAACCCUCAAACCAAACAACCACUUGGGUUGUCUUCCUUCCUAACAACGAUGGGAAACUUAUCCCAUUUCAAAACCGAUCCUGCUUCUGUAUUCCGGUAUGAUUCUCCCCCACUUAGAUUCAACUAAGUCUUCAUCGUACAUGAAAACUUGAGAAAUUUCCAAUCCUUCUCGCUUUCCAACGAUCAAUCUGAUGAUAACCAGACCUUUCCAACUAGUACUCCUUUACUAGCCAACACAAUAUGAUUGCACGCUUCUAAUAACUAGAUGAACACUUUCUGAAUCUUAGGGACACCAACAGUCCCCAAUGCUCGAAUGAUCCCACACUCAAAUCUUGAAGUCCAAAAGAUAGAUGCUCCAACUAGCAUCUCAGCAACGAGCUACUUCCCUUGGCGUUUUCCUCUGCUAUCCAAUAACGGUUACUGAACUAUUGAAUCCUGACGAUGCUGAAUAGCCAUCAUGUGGGACCCUAUCCGCACACCUCCCACAUAAUACCCCUCUUCCCAAAGUGCUCCAACAAAUCUCCCGCUCUCACCUCUAGAAAUCAUAUCAUUCAGGGUCUCGCACCCUGACUCACUCACCAGCUUGAUCAUGCACAGCUGAACUGCAAUAACUGAAACAACUCUACCCUAAAUCGGGCUAUAACUACUCCCAAGACAUAGUCUACAAUCCCAAAAGUGCAACAGAUCGUGCAAUCAAUCCUUAUCGCCCGAUACAAGAGAUCCAAGGCAAACUGGACCUCCAAAAUACUUAUUCCACAUCGACCCACCCGCGCUUACCAGUGCUAAACUACUGGCACCAAUCCCGACGACCAACUGAACAUGAGCUAGAAUACAACCUGAUCCUGGGGUCACAAGCCUGCUCAAUCCUUCGAGCUUGUAAACUGAAAGGGCACAUUCUUUUCCCUAUAUAACGACAUUCCAGUCCACCAAUUAACCAUUCUACUUCCAACUGCAAAACCCCAGCUGAACACAAGCAUCACUCCUUUCUAGAGUCCUCGCAACUCACAUCCCGGCCUCGAACAAAACCUUCGAAGCCUCAAAUCUAGAAACUCAUGUGCUAGACUCUCCUGCCCAACCCGCGGGAUGUAACAAGUACAAAAUAUCUCCUUGAUCCUAAGUAACUGUAGCCCUCUGCUCAUUAGAAUAUGUUCCAGUAACAAUUCUCGGUACUGGAAAGCUCGACCAGCUCCUCCCUUUGUCGUCGUUACAGCUGUUAUAGUUGUCGCGAUAACUGUCUCGGCAAUGGAUGCAUAGCACUCAUCAAAAAUACUCAACCGUGGCAGUCUUAAUAGACCCAAACAUCUCCGGAAACUAUUCCCGGACAAUCUCGAUCACCUCCUCCCGGAUGAUCUCACUGACACAGAUCUUUGACAAUGUUGGCCUAUCCUGGCUGCCAUCUCUCGAUCCUAACUUGGAUCCGGUCUCAAGACGUCUCGUAACCACCAUUCUGGUAAGACACCAGAAAGAUCUCUGAUAAUCCAUAUAAUGACAGGGGACCAACUCCCAACCCAACCCUAGGGGUUGUGACUUCCUUGCUACGCGUAUGGGUCCUGUGCUUUCAGUAGGACGGGCCCAUACUACCUUCCACACCUACCCAUAUUUGUCUUUAGUAUCAUCAAAACGCCCUAACAUUAUACAUAAUCAUAGCGAGCACCCAAUCCUUACUCCUAGAGGAAUGCUAAAUGUCUCAUAAUUGGCCUACCUGCCUCACACAACCCACCCAUCCAUGAAACUUCCACCAACCCUGCAGCACUGGUGUAUGCUAGCUAUACACAACGCUGGAUCCUAUAGACUUUCGAAUAUUUGAUCCUACCCUAAGCCCCCAAACGAGAACAUAACAUAAGGCCAAAUCAAAUAUUCUCAGGCUAUAAGAUCUUAAUUAUAUACAGCUGUGAUGCAUACACAAAUAACUAUAGUAAUGAUAUCAAUCUAAUAUAAGGAAAACCCUAGGCUAGCAGGCAUCAUGUAAUCAGGCAAUUCUAUCAUGCAAUUAUAGAAGAUCCCUAGCCUAGUACUAGCAUGAUGUUCUAACAUAUCACAUAAUCAAAUAUCUGUAUGGUAUUUUGGGGCCUACUUACUGGCUCCGGCUGAUCAUACACCCUGCAUCCUCCUUUACUUAUUUCGAAAACCAUUUAAACCCAUUUUGAAAAUCUUUCCUUGAUUUGAGACUGGAUUUACACGAGGCCUCUCAUUAGUUUAUUACACAUCACCUAUCUACCCAAGGUCUACCCAAUAUUUUGUAGAUAGCAAUAUACAUAUGCAUACAUAUGUAACUUAAAAACUGAUAAGAUAUUCAUUUAAUACUCGUUCCAAAUAUACAUAUUCAUUCCAAGUAACAUAUAAUAUAUAUCUAUAUACACAUAGCGCGUAUUCACUCGGAUAUACUUUAUAUAUAUGUGUCAGAAGAAAAGGAAUAUACAAUCACUUGAUCAAAAGAUGAUCGGACAGCACUACGGCUCUAAGAGUACUAUUCUUCGGUAGAUUUGGAAGAUCUUCACACACCGGGCUUCUCGCAGGCAGAGCUUCGGCUCGGAAACUCUUUUCUUCUUGGGAUCUUCGGGCUUCGGGACUCGAUUCGGGUCUCGGGAUGAUACCGGGGCUUCGGGGGGUUAAAAUAGGGCUUAGAGAGAGUAUCAGGAGUGGGAGAGUAAGUGAUGAGCAACCUAAAUCGGCUGACCCUUGAUUUCUAUUUAUAGGGUGAAUUUUCGGGGUUCACGUCGUGAGUUUCUAAUGCUCACGUCAUGGGGCUUGAUUGUCAUUGCAUGAGUCACUCGUCCACUUGGGUGUUCCAGCUCUGGAAGGGUCAAAUCUCUGAGUUCACGUCGUGAACAUAGUGUUCACGUCGUGAACUCUGACACAGUACCGGGUUUCGUGCCCCGAACUUCAGAAAUUCAUAUCUUUCGCAUACGAGCUCCGUUUUUGACGUUCUUUAUAUGCACGUGUAGGUAAAAACAAGAUCUACAACUUUUUUUUAGACUCCGUUGGCUAAUUUUGAUUUUAUUUUUAUUAUAUAUUUAUUAUAUUAUUUUUAAUAGGCCGGAACAGGAAAACUCCAUUAGAAAAUCAUAACUCCUUCGUCUGACGUCCGUUUUCGUCUGUCUUUCCCUCAUUGCACUACUAUUGAUGAGAUCUUCAAUUCUCAUUUAGAAAGUUUUGGCUAAAUAUCACUCGAUCUCAUAUUCGAACUUCGAGCUGUCUACUGCUAAGCUGAAACUUCGAAAAAUCACAACUUCCUCAUACGAAGUCAGAUUUGGGCGUUCUUUUUAUGUACGAUCUCGGUUUAACAUAUUCUAUGACUUUUGUUUAGAUCACUAAGGCUAGAUAUUGCUCUAUCUUAAAUUUGUAUUUUACGUCAUUCAAUGUCGUACCGGUUCUGUCGCGAAACUUCGACAGGUCAUAACUUCUUCGUUAUAACUCGUAUUUCAGCAUUCUUUAUAUUUUCAUAAACCUCGUCACGACCACUACGUCUUCAUGUAUCGAUAUCGGGCUUAUCUAACAUUUCAUUUUCACGCUUAUUUUCAUUUUUAAUUCAUUUAAGCCACAUAAUUAAGCAAUUAAGCAUAAAACACAUAAUACUCAAAUAAUACUUCUCUAUUAUUUCAAGACGGGUUACAAAGGUUAACCUAGACUAUUACAUCGCUAUUAAUGACAAGCCUAGAAACACGGACUUUACAAUUCUCUCCACGUUAUAAUGAUUCCGUCCCCGGAAUCGAACAUCAACAAACAAAUGCGGAUAGCGACUCAUCAUGUCACUCUCCGUUUCCCAAGUGAGAUUUGGCCCAUUCGUAUGUUUCCAUUGGACAAGCACUAAUUCGACCAUCUUGCGUCGCAACUUCUUAGUCUUUCGGUCAACGAUUGUCUCUAGUUCUUCAAUCAACCUUUUGUUCUCAUUGAUUCUCAACUCCAAAAAUGGAAUCAUGUCGGGAACUUCUCCCGUGAACUUCCUCAAAUAACACACAUGAAAAGUGUUAUGAAUUCCAUUCAGUUCUUCGGGUAUUUCGAGCUUGUAAGCUUGAUUCCCAAUUCUUUGAAAAACUUUAAACGGUCCAAUAAACCUUGGACUUAACUUUCCCCUUUUACCAAAUCUUAUAAGUCCCUUCCACGGCGAGACUUUAAGCAAAACCGAAUCUUCAACUUCAAAAGUCAUCGGUCUUCGCUUUUUGUCAGCAUAGCUCUUUUGACGAUCCUGAGCCGCUAACAUUCUUUCUCUGAUUAUUUUUAGCUUUUUAGUAGUUUGAUGGACUAUCUCCGGUCCUAUAAACUGCUUUUCCCCAGCCUCAAGCCAACAAGACGGCGUACGACAUUUUUGUCCGUACAUAGCUUGAUAAGGUGCCAUCGUUAUGCUCGAGUGGAAACUAUUAUUGUAGGAAACUUCUACCAAAGGAAAAUGUUCAUCCCAGUUGCCUUGUAAUUCCAGGGUACAAGCUCUCAGCAUAUCUUCAAGCGUUUGUAUCGUUCGUUCGCUCUGACCAUCAGUCUGUGGAUGGUAAGCUGUACACAAACACAACUUGGUACCCAAUUCCUCUUGUAGACUUCUCCACAAUUUUGAUGUGAAACGACUAUCACGAUCCGAUACAAUCGUUAACGGAACACCGUGAAGCCUCACACUUUCCUUCACGUAAGAAUUCUCAAGCUUAUACAUAGACCAUUUCUCAUUGGCUGCUAUGAAAUGCGCACUCUUAGUGAAUCGAUCAACGACCACCCAAAUCAUGUCGUGAUCACUUUUCAUUCUGGGCAGUUUAGUGACAAAAUCCAUAGCUAUGUCUUCCCACUUACCCAUAGGCACAGGAAGAGGUUCUAAACUCCCGUACGGUUUCUGAUGUUAUGUCUUAACUUUCACACAAGUCACACACUCGGCCACAUACUUCGCAACAUCAAGCUUCAUCGUCGGCCACUAGUAGUAGGGUUUCAGGUCCCUAUACAUUUUAGUGCUACCAGGAUGAAUCGAGUACAUGGUCUUGUGAGCUUCUUCAUGACUAUUUAUACCGAAUACUAACGUUUUGCCCAAACGUUCUUCCUUUCGGUCAUUCGUCUCUGAAGCUUCCUCUUGAGCUUUCUUUAUACUCUCCAAAAUUGUCGAGACAACUUCUAUUCUCAACGCUCUUGGCCUUUUUCUUUCAAGAUUGACUUUCCGACUGAGAGCAUCAACUACAACAUUUGCUUUUCCGGGGUGGUAAAGUAUCUCACAGUCGUAGUCCUUAAGUAACUCUAGCCAGCGUCGCUGCCUCAUAUUCAAUUCUUUCUGACUAAAGAGGUAUUGGAGACUCUUAUGAUCAGUGAAAAUUUUGCACUUCAUGCCAUAGAGGUAAUGCCUCCAUAUCUUAAGAGCGAAAACUACCGCUACCAGCUCCAUAUUGUGAGUCGGGUAGUUCUUUUCAUGCUCUUUCAGCUGUCGAGACGUAUAUGCGAUCACCAUUUCUCUUUGGGUCAAAACACAACCCAAUCCAACCCCAAUCGCAUUGCUAUAGACAUCGAAGUCUUCAACUCUGUCGGGUAAAGAUAAAAUUGGUGCCUCACAUAGCUUCUUCGUUAGCAUCUCGAACGCUUCUUUGUGCUUAUCACUCCACGCAUAAAGCGGCUCCUUUGUGGGUCAAAGCUGUUAAUGGACUAGCGAUCAAAGAAAAGCCUUGGAUAAACCUUCGGUAAUACCCGACUAAUCCCAAAAAGCUUCGGAUCUCCGUGGGACUUUUUGGUUGCUCCCACUUCAUUACAACCUCAAUCUUUGCUGGAUCAACCAUUAUCCCUUCUUGGUUGACCACGUGACCCAAAAAUUGGACUUCUCGGAUCCAAAAAUCACAUUUGGAGAACUUAGCAUAUAACUUCUCAUUCUUCAAGACUUCUAACACUUCUCGUAAGUGUUUGCCAUGCUCCUCUUGGCUUUUCGAGUAAAUCAGAAUGCCAUCUAUGAACACUAUCACAGAUUUAUCAAGGAACGGAUUACAAACCCUGUUCAUUAAAUCCAUGAAUGCUGCUGGAGCAUUGGUUAGUCCAAACGACAUAACCAAACACUCGUAGUGUCCAUAUCAUGUUCUGAAUGUAGUCUUCUCUAUAUCCUGCUCUCUUACUUUCAGCUGAUGAUAUCCUGACCUCAAGUCGAUCUUUGAAAAAUAACUUGAACCUUGUAGCUGAUCGAACAGGUCAUCNUUGUUCAGCUCUCUGUAAUCGAUGCACAUUCUCAUACUUCCAUCUUUCUUCUUCACGAAUAACACCGGAGCUCCCCAGGAUGAUGAACUAGGUCUAAUGAAACCUUUGUCAAAUAACUCCUGAAGCUGCAUCAUUAGCUCCUUCAUCUCCGUCGAUGUUAGUCGGUAAGGUGCCUUUGCUAUUGGUGUCGUCCCUGGUAACAAGUCUAUUCUAAAAUCCACUUGUAUAUCAUGCGGUAAUUCGGGAAGAUCUUUGGGAAACACUUCCGGAUAAUCAUACACCAUCGGAAUGCUCUGCACCUCCUUUUUCUCCUUCUUAACAUCUAUCACAAAUGUCAAACAUGAUGUACAUCCUUUGGGCAAACACUUUCUGGCUUUCAUCAAUGAAAUGAUUCCAUAAUUUACUCUGCGUUUAUCUCCAUACACCAUAAAUGACUUUUUCCCUGGCGGGUUUACUUUUACAAUCUUCUUCUUGCAUAGUAUUUCGACAUCAUUGGCGCUAAGCCAAUCCAUUCCCAGCACAAUGCCGAAACUGUUUAGUUCGAUAGGCAAUAAUUCCUCAUGGAACUUAUUCCCAUUCAAGUCAAUUAAGAUGUUUUUCAUACGAUGGCUAACAGGUACAAACUUGCCACUAGCAACUUCGACUAAUAAAACAUUAUCUAGUCUAUCAAUAGGCAAAGCUAGUUUUCUACCAAAUUCAUGCGAUAUAAAUGAGUAGUUGGCUCCGGAAUCAAAUAAAAUUUAGGCAGACAAUUCGUUUACGAGAAAGGUACCUGAAGCGACAUCAGCUUCAUCUUUAGCAGCUUCCAGUGUCAUCUGGAAUUAUGCCUUCAAUCCAGUUUGAGCUUAGAUCCAUGUAUCGGAUGUUAGAAAGCGUACUGAUAUUAAGAUCAGGGGAAGACAGAAAAGUCUUAUCAAGCCCACAACUUGAAAAAUGCAGCUCUGAUAAAGAAGGGAUCAUGUUUAUCAAGUUUACAAAGUUAAAUUCCAAACUAAGAUUAGAGCCUGAAAGAUCCAGAAGCUUCAAAUUAGAAAGGUUUCCAAAGUGAUUGGGAGUAAUACCUUGAAAACCUGAAUAAGAGAGAUUGAGGAAGAUGAGCUGUUUGAAGGAUUCAAUGAACUCAGGGAUCUAACUUCCUCCAAAAUCAUUACAAAUUAAAUCCAAGUAUUUAAGAUGCCUCAACUCUGCAAGAGAAGAGUUCACCCCAUUACCAACUAAAUAGCCUCCACCACCCUAGUAAUUUCCUCGUAGCUGAAGACUUUCAACUGUUCCGGUGAGACUGUCGCAUUGGAUUCUUCCCCACUGGCAACAGUCAUUUCCCACCCAUGAUGACAACAUUCCAGAAGCAUAUUGGAUGCUCCCUUUGAACUUGAGAAGAGAAAGUCGCUCUUUUUGGGAGCAAACAACAGUCACAUUUCCAACACCGAAACAAGUAUAUGUUAUUUCAACCAAAAAACACAUAUGGAAAUGAGAUGUAGCCCCAAACCCCUUGGAUUCCUCAUUAUCAACCCCAAUCGUUUUGAUUUAGAUGAAAUUAGAAGUGGAAAGGUUGGUUGUUAUGAUCUAGUGAUGGGCUGUUACGAUGAGGCAACCACUUCAUUUAUAGAGCCAAAGAUGAAGAGCAAUUUAUAGCCAUGGAAGAGUUGGAGUUAAAAUCAAAAUGUUUUUCAAAUUAUCUUCUAUUAUAAAAAUAUUUUGAAGUUAAAAUCAAAAUAUUUUUCAUAUUUGAAUAAAUAAAGUUUAGUUCUGUUGAUUAAUUUUCAAAAAGUUUAUAAAAAAUACUUGUCUGCUAAAACAUUGUCUUGUAAAUGAAAAUAAACUCUGUAUAAAAUUCUUCAUCAUUGUCAAUAUCAAAGAAUGAAGAAGUUGCAUGGAAUUUGAGUGUACUAAAAAAAUGAGUUCUUUGGAAAAUUCCAUGAAAAAGAAGUUGGGUGGAUAAUUCAACAAAAGACAUUGACAGGUUUGUUGUUAUGACACCACUUACUUUUGUGCAUUGUUUAUUUGAAAGGUUAGACCAAAUACAUUGGCUUUGUUGACUUCAAAAUCAUGUGAAGACUUUGACACUAAUGACAUCUUCUUUAAUACCGAUUACCUAAAACUCAAUUUCAAAUUACAGAAGCACUGUUAGCGAGAAGUUGUAUGGCGUAUUUUAAAAGAUGUUUAAUAUAAUUAGCUUAAAGAAUUAAAGAUAUUACAUCAAAAAAUUAAUAUUUUUCUCAUUAAUCUGAUACCAAUGUUGCUGUAGUGUUUUUUAUUUCAAGACAAAAUUGCAAAAAUGGUCCCUGUGGUAUGCAUUUUUUUGGAGUUUUAGUCAAAACCACGACUUUUUUAGAUUGAUAGUCAGUUUCGUUGCGUUUUUGGUCCUUCGGUAAACUAAAAUGACUGUAAUGCCCUUCUGAUAUUUAUUUUUAUGUUUUUUCUAUUUAAUUUAAAUGAAAAAGAAAAUAAAUAAUUAAAUUGGACCCACAUCUCUCUCUCUCCCUCUCUCUCUGUCUCUCUCCUGUGCAAACCCACCAACGAUCAUUCAUAAUCUCUCUCUCUCUCUCUCUCUCUCUCUCUCCUAUGCAAACACACCAACGAUCGUUCAUAAUCCAUUUCAACAUCAAAUUCCAGCAACUUGGAUUAACCCACAAAAAACCUAAAGAUCUUCACCCACUUUCACUAUGAACACACAUACACACUCUAGAUCGAGGUGAAGAAGACCCAUUUCAGUGACUAUCAAGAAGUCCCUCUCCCUUCCCUCUGGUGACCCUCCUCCUUCCCUAAAAUCAAUUUCAGCACCAUAACAUAUUACUGUCUAUUGUUGCUACUGUUCACUAGAUUACCGUCUCCAAAAUAAACUUCUCUUCUCUCUCUCUCUCUCUCUCUCUCUCUCCAAACCCAUUACCGUCUUAACAGAUUUUGAGGAAACAAUAUCCCAAUCAACACAAACCUCGAUUCCCAAAUCAACCCACUUCCAAUCCAUUUUUAAUUAGAUUAAUAGAUCCAAAACAAAACCAAUUUGAUUCUAACAAAUACAGUGAGCAUUACCUGUUGAGAGAACGAAAGAGAAAGUAAGGAAGAUGAAAAUUUAACCAGAAAUAGAUGAAGAUGGCGAAAAUCAGUGCAAAUGUCAAUCCGAUCUAAAUCCAAAGUGCAUAAUAAGAUCAGUUCUUUUUGUUGUUAAUCCAACCACUUGGUUCAAGUUGCAAGUCUAAUUAGGAGGAUAAUCAAACGAUUUCGUGUUUUGGGGUACUCGAUGAACAUAAGAGAAGAUGGUGGUCAAGACGAUCUACUGUUGGAAGUCGUGAUUGUUUUAACCGGUGGUCUGGCGGGUGGAUGAUGAUGAUGGCAUUGAUGUUUAAUUGUGGAGAUGUGGGUCUUCUAAGGUUUUUAAGUUUGCUAGCAAUGCAUGUAUCUACAUUUAUCUGUAUGUAUAUGUGUUGAGAAAUGGGUAGAACGCAGUGAGAUUGGAUCAAACAGAGAAGGAUAGAGAUGAAGCUUGAUGUCGUCGGAGCCACAACAAACCCUAACUCCGAUUAGGGUUUCGUCGUCUUUUCUAUAAAGAUCCAAUUAGGGUUACCGUUGAAUCGGAGUGAAUGGAGACAACGAGUCUUGUCGCUAUCUCUGACUUACGACGUUCCUCUGCAGUCAUUAUCACACCUCCUUCCAUAUAUGUGAAUCGCAAACGAAGUUCUCUAGAAAUUUUCGUCUUCAUAUGAAAAUAUAGAUGUGUGGUUGUGUGAGAAAUAGAAUCUGAAAACUCCAUGUGUUCAUAUGAUUUAGAAAGAUGAAGAAGUGGAUGGGGGUGAAUUUCUUUUCCGAGAGAUAGAGAGAGAGAGAGAGAGAGAGAGGUGGCCCCACUUUUUUAAUUAUUAAAAUAAAUAAAAAAACAAUUAGAUUUAAAAAAAUGAAAGAAAAAUGAAAAAUAAAUAACCAAAGGGUAUUACAGUCAUUUCAGUUAUAGAGGGACCAAAAACGCAACGAAACUACCUCAAAAGGACCACCAAUCUAAAAAAAUCGUGGUUUGGACUAAUACCCCAAAAAAAUGCAUACCACAGGGACCAUUUUUGCAAUUUUAUCUUUUUUCAAUUGGUGUUUGGAACAGUUAUGAGUAUAGUCUAUGCCCUGUGGCACACGUAAAAGCAUUUGGACAAAAGAAGACUUUGAAUUCAAUAGAGUAAACCACCUAAGAGUGUAUGAUUGAUGCACCACUAAUCUUUCUUCUGGAGUUUUCCUUAUAACUUCUCCUAUUAUUCAAUGAAAAAACAAAAAUAUUGUCAGGAUUGGAUCUGUCUAAAUUAAGAUAUCCAUCUAUAUCUGUGUAUAAAAAAUUAAAAAAAAAACCCAUUAUCGAACCAAUAAAAAAAUAGAAUACAAACAUUGAUUUUUCCUUUCUUGUUUAACUCUAUCUACAUAUUAUUCGACGAAGGAAAUUAUAGAAAAGAAACCAUCACAUCUAAAAAUAUGUUUGAUAACAAAAUUUCAUGAUUACAAUAAAAUAGAUUUGGAAGAAUAUUUGAGAUGGUGAAUAAACAUCUGUUCAACUAUUUGUUAAAUAUGCAAAAAAAUAUCAAAGUGGGCAUAUGACUUUGUUAUACAGCUUAUUUGGUGCUCACUGCACUCUAUCUAUUAGAACAUAUGUUGAUUUUCAUUAAAUGACAAUGUUGUUAAUGUUAUUAAUUAUUAGCUUAAUUUUAUUUAAACAUCUUUAUAUAUAAACUAAACAACAUGCUCGAAUAAUUCAUUUUGAUCCUAAAAACCAAUUAAACAUGAUAGUGAAUGAUAAUUAAUGAUCUAUCUUAUUGUCAUGCUCAUUAAACACGUUCAACAUCAUCUAUAAAACUGUUAUUAUAAAUAAUGGAAUUUUGUUUUUCAUAACGGAACAUUUCAAGUGUACUAACCUUUGGAAGAUGCUUCCCCACAGGAGCCUUCAAUUCCCCAGAGGAAGCUUCAGUUUGCCAUAUAUACGAGUUUUUUCAUCAUCAUCAGAUGCCAAGUUGAUUCAAUUACGUCUAAACUAGGUGUAUACUCGCGCGUUGCGCAAAAUUAGUAUAACAUGAUAAGAUUGACGAUUUGAAUUUCAAAAGAGACUUACAUGGAAAAUAUUUAGGUGGACAUAUUAACCGAAAACCACACAAAAAUCGAAUCAACCAAUAUAAUUGAACCAUUAUAAUCGAACCAUUACUAAAAGAUGGUUUGAUUUCUAAUACUGAUUAACCGAAUACAUAUGAUUCCCUUAUGGUUUUCAUCAAAAACCAAAUCACUAUAAAAUGAACUGAAUCAAUCCAUUAAUAUUAACUAAACUAAUAUAUAUAUAUAUAUAUAUAUAAUAUGUAAUUAUAUUGGAAACUGAGAAUUUGAAAAGUAAUCAUGUCACAGUUAUAAAGUGCUCAAUUUUGAAUUAGAUUUAGUUAUAAAAUUUGGUAUUAGUUAAUCACCAUUAAUUUCCCACUUGUAAUUUUAGCAACCUAAUUUCUAAUUUUUCACUUUUUAUAGCAAUGAUUUUUUGUUGCUUACAUAUUAUAGUAAUGUAGUUUUUAUCGCAAUGAUUUUUUUUGUUUCUCACAUUUUGUAGUAAUAUAUUUUAAUUUCCAUAUUAUUUUGAACCAUUAUCGUUAACCGAUAUUAAUCGAUGACCGAACACCAUUAGCCAAGGUUCUAAAAAGCUUGUCAUGGCUCCACCAUGGCGCGCCAUGACUCCAAGGCUUGUACGUGCCGCCAACCUUUACCAAAACGCCGCCUUGACUCAUAUAUGUGUAUAGAAAUAAAUAAUAGUUGAAAAUACAUAUAAAAAUAUGAAUUAUAUACAAAAUUGCUGCUUUAAUUCUCACCUUACAAACGACAUGGUUCGCCAAGGCUAGGAAAAGCUUGAGACUUGACAUUUCCGCCUAGUCAUGCCUUAUGUUAUUUAGAACUUUGCCAUUAACCGACUAAAAUGUUAACCGAUUCACACUGGUUACCAAAAUUUAUUAACCGAUUGAAAUGAUUAUGGUUUGGUUUUGGCCUAUAACCGAACGAAACCGACCCAUACACACCCCUAGAAAAUAUAGCAUAUACAUGAAUUUUAAUUAAUUAUUUUUUGAAGCCACAUAUAUAAUAUGAUCGAUAACAUGUAUACAAUAUAAUUUGCAUUAACGAUUUAACCACAACAUACAACAAUUGUAUUAAAAGAAUACUACAACCAAAAAAAUAUAAAAAAAGAAUUAACAUAUAACAAACAUAUAAAUUAAAAUCUCUACCAUAAUAAAAUAAUUCAAAAAAGGUCAAAAUACUUCAAAACAUCACAAAAAUCUUUAAACUUGUUUUCUUUUUCAAUUGUAUGUGAUUUAUAUGGUUGUCUACAUAAAAUAUUGAUCUUUUAUAGUAAUAUUUUCAUUAAAUUCAUAUUAAACAUUAUAUAUAUAUAUAUNCGACAAGUUCAACAUGCUUCAGUAUUGUUCAUAGGUUGAAAAUGGUGGUCUAUUAGAGAUGCUAGGGUUUGGAUGAAGAAAUUAAUCGAGACGAUGGUAAUGGCAAUUAAGAGACUGAUUCCAAAUUUGCUUAAAUAAAGGGAUAUGAUAAGAACUUAAUUUUGGAUAUUAUUUAUUGUAUAUCUAAUAUUACCAACCUACCCUUAUGUAUUUAAAUAAUGAUUUUUUUUCUUAAAUUCUUAUUGGUCCAUACGUCCACACAAUAUUUAUUCAUCCACAUAUGAACCUACCUCCGUGUGUAUAUAUAUAUAUAUAUAUAUAUAAACCAAAUCAUUAUAAUAGCAUCUACUUAUGGUCAAUCAACUUAGAUAGAUGUAUUUUAGGAUCAUAUCAUCUCAAUGGUAUCCAUUCAAAUGUUGUGUGUGAAUUUAGUUAGUUAAAUGUAGUUUUUUAUUUGAUACAUUUUUUAACUAUUGACAUUGUUAAUUGGAAAACCAUUUAUUUAAACAUUUUUUUUAUUUAUUUUAUAAUUAAUUUCAAACAUUAAUCGUUUUUCCAAUGUAUCAUAAUCUAUUUUUUUUUAAUUUAUGUUGUUUAAACUAUUAUUGUUAUCAUGUUAUUUCAAGAAAAUAGUUAGAACAAUUUUUAUUACUUAUCAUAGAAAAAACACUAUUUGUUAAUAAAAUGUGAAUUAUAAACAUCUAUUGGUGUUUAAUUGUUAAGGAAAUUAAGCAUUUGGUUGAAAAUACUUCAUAUACUACAACUCGAUAAAGUUUUAAGUUAUUUAUAAAUAAAGUUAUUAAUAAUGCUAAUUGUUUUAAAUAUUAAUUGUGUUCAUUUGUGUGGUACACCAAUGGGAAAAAAUAGAAAGGACAAUCGCAUUCCAAUAUUAAAAAAAUGUAAACAUUUUAGAAUUUCUUCUAUAUAAGUGGAAUAAAGAUAGAACUUGUGUAGCAAGGCUUUUCCAGAGAAUUAGUUUUGCCAUCCAGUAAGGGCUAGUGGCGCAACUUGUUGCCCGUUUAUCUUCAAUCGAUAUAUAUUAAACUAUAUUUUUCUAAUUAAUUAAAUCUUGUUUAUUAAAAGAUAAAGGUACCUAAAUAAAAUAAAUAUAUUUUUUUACUCUAUUAUAACAUAAACCAUAAGGUUAAAUGUCCAUCUAUGUUUAACGUGGAUAUGAUGCAUACAACAAAAAAGACGCCAACAAUCAAAGUAUCGAUCAUUCUCAUAUUUGCUUCCUGUAAACACCAUAAACAUAAAGUAAAAUACAAACUAAAAUACAAUUACAAAUAUAAAGUACAAUUACAACCACCCAUAAAUGAAAACUAAAAUAUAAUUACAAACAUAAAGUUACCACACAACCACCACAUUGCACAAUAAUCUUCAUAUAACAUAAACAAAAAAGUAUUAACAUAUAAAAAGAAUAUUAUGAACCAAAUCAUAAUAUUAGACGUCCACUACAAUUAAAUAUACAAUAUCUAACCACCAUUUUUCUAAAAAUUCAUAACACAACAAAUCAUAUUUUUCCUUUUCUAUAUAAAAACACAAUGUAAUCAACAUUCUUCUUACAUGAGUGAUUGGAGAAGUGUGGUGCAAUGUUGUUAAAACUGUAAUGCUUCAAGUUGGUGAUACUAUAAACUAAGAAGAUACAGAAAGAAUUUCACUCAAAGUGAGAUGUUUAGGAAAUCAAGAACUAAAGAGAGAAACAAAGAUUCAUAAGUCACAUGUAACAACUUAUAUAACAUGUUUGAUGUAUAAACAAUUAGUAAUCAUUAUUAAAAUGCAUUUGAAAAGUCAUUGGAGAAUAUGAAAAAACAUGGGAGUUUCAAAUCAAUAUGGUGUUUGGAAAUUUGUCUCUUUUAUAAGUUUUGAGAAUAUGAAAGGACAAAAGAGUUUUUUAAUCAAUGUGAUGCUUAGAAAAAUGCUAGCUUUAUAAGAUACUAGCCGAAUGCCCGCGCGUUGCGCAGAAACACUUAUAUAGUUGAAGUAUUUACAAAUAUAUGUUUUUUAAAAUAUAACAACAACGUCAUUGUUAAAUUUGAUAUAAUAAUUCGUAUACUAAAUUGAUAUAAUAUAUUGAUUAUUUUGAAUUAUAUGAUAAUAUAUAUACAUCUAUUACAACUGUAUACUCUUAAUCGUUUGAAUAACUUCUAUAUGCGAGUUACACAUUAAUAAAAUUAAAUAUAAUAUAUGAUUUAAUGUUAUUUAUAGUUGUUGUUAUUGUUAACUGAUUUUUAAAAAUUAGGUUUCUUAUUGUUUUAGUUUCUAUAAUUAUAAUUAUUUAAAACAUCAAACAUUAUUUUUUGAAUUUUAAGAUAACAAUAUAAUCGUUUAUAUAGAAUUAUUUUUUAAUUAUUGUUAUUGUAAGUUAUUUUAUGCUUCUAAUUUAAAACUUUUAACGAUUAUAAAAAUAUAUUUAAGAAAUAUUUUAGUUAUAUUGAGAUUACAAUUUAGUUUUUGCAUUUAUCACUACAAUUUAUCACUUUUAACUAUUUAUAAAAUAUCCUUUGGUUUUUUUAAAGGGAAUUGAACUUUAUAUUUAAGUUGACACCAUAAUGUUAUAUUUAAAUUAACAAUUUAAGUAUUUUGUCAAAAUCAUUUAAAAGUUGUAGCUUUAAACUGAUACUGGUUUACAUACAACAACAUUUUAAAUCUAAUAAAUUUAGUAUAAUAUAUUAAAAGUUAAGACAUAACUUUAUAAGUAGAAGUAAAGAUAUUAUUUUAAAAUUGAAAUUUAGUUUAUUUAUGAUUACACUUUAGAUUUGAUAUUUAUUUAACCUUAUUAACGAACUUAUAAUAGUUAUUAGAAAUACACUACAAUUUAUCACUUUUAACUAUUUACAAAAUAUUUAUUGGGUUGUUUAAGUUAAACUAAAAUUUAUAUUUAAGUUGACCCGAUAAUAUUUUAUUUAAAUUAAUAAUUUAAGUAUUUUAUACAAAAUGUUCCAAAAUUGUAUCUUUAAAAUGAUAAUAGUUUACAUCCAACAAUAUAUUAAAACUAAUAAAUUAAGUAUAAUAUGUUAAAUGUUAAAAAGCAUAACUUUAUAAGUAGAAGUAAAGAUAUUUUUUUAUAUUGAAGUUUAUUUUAAAUAUGGUUAUACUUUAGGUUUGAUAUUUACUUAACCUUAUUAACCAACUUAUAAUUAUUAUUAGAAAGAAAUUGAAAAGUCAUAGAAGUUUCAAAUGAAUGUGGUGAAAGGAAAAAUGCUUCCUUUAUAAGUAUAUAUAGAUAUAGAUAUAGAUAUGCCAAACUCCCAUCAAAUUUACUGUUUAUAUGGUUUAACUUCUUUAAUCUCUCUCUCUCUCUCUCUCUCUUUCUCUCUCUCUCUCUCUCUCUAUAUAUAUAUAUAUAUAUAUAUAUAUAGAGAGAGAGAGAGAGAGAGAUUAAUUAUUGUUGUAGAUGUACAUAAUAAUCAAAUAAAAAUAAAAUAACCAUGUGUCCCUUUUUGAGUUUUUGUUUAUAUCAACCUAAUCUUAAAACUUCAUUCAACACAAAAAAAAAGUGACAUUUAGGUAUAAAUGGUUUAUUCUUGUCUUGAUAGUUAUUAACUUAAUGGAUUUUUUUGGCUUGGAAUUUGACUUCUAAGAGAUCUAACAUUGUGGUUGGGGGUAUUUCAGAGAAACAUUGUUGAAUCCAGACAAAUACAUGAUUUCCAAAUUGUGAAAAUCAUAUUCUUUAAGCUAGGAUAGGGGGAAACAACAAAAAAACACAUAUGUUUUUCCUUUGUAGAUCUAAAAUUCUUAGACUUUUGGCCCUAAGACUUCUGUUAUGCUCUCCACAACAAUGAUCGUGGAGAGCUUCCAGAUCAGCCACCGGAGCAACCACGAACCACCCCACCACAACCGGAGUACUCUUCAUUGAUAACAAAGAGAAAUAACUAAGAAAGAGACAGAAGAAGGCUGAGAGAGAAGAAAUUGGUCAAGAAGCCAUGAUUGGGCGUUGCGUCUCAUCCUCGGCACCACGAGCCAUCACGAAAACCACGAACCACGACCGGACGGGGUGGUCUGCACGGUCGUUGUCUGUGGCCACGUAGACCACAACCGGGUUCGUGGUCCGUAUACCUGACGGCCUAAACAAUUUUGUUUUUGAAGCAUGGUACGUCUUGCUUCACCACUUUGUAUGUUGGUCCCCACUAGAUAAAAAAAGGUGUUCUUACCUAUUUUAUCCUUAUUCAAAGCCAAGUAUAGGGAUUCUUUUACCAGUUAUGUAUUUGACUAAUAGUUUGUUCUUAAUGGGCCAAACAUGUAAAAAUAUUAUUUUAGCUAAAAAGGAAACAUUUCAAAUAGAUCAAACAUUUUAAUAGAAAUCCAUAGUAUAUUGAAGUAUUUUCAACCAUCCUAACUUGCUUUAAUUAGUCCAAACAAUUUGAUCAUGUUUUAAUACCCUAAUCUUAUUCAUAUUUAAUAUAUUAAUUAUAUAUGAAAUUGAAAAAAGUGUUUGCAGGUUAGCCCAAUAUGGUUAAACGGUAUCUUAAGGUUUGUGUUUUGAUAUUGCACCCUACAUGCCAAUUUUGCCACAUAUAAGGCUAAUAUAUCUAGAACCAUCGAUUUUUGUGGAAAAGUACGCAAGGUAAUUAGGUAUUGUGACAAACUUACACAUAUUUUAUAAAGAAAUAAAUAGGAGAUAUAAAUAUUCUUUCCCAUGAAUUGCCUACCUUCUUUACUUUUUUGAAGGAUUGGCCAUAGCUAUAUUGUUUUUGUAUUACAAUUUGCAUCAUGGUAUGUUUUUCAUCUUGUUUAACUAUGUUCUUACUCAUAAAAUUGCUUUGUUUGAACUUACGCUUAGUUUCAGGAUUAGUUUGACUAGUAACUUUGAAUAAUAUUUAAUAAGUAGUGGAACCUUGUUGAUGAAAUCAAUGUGAUUAACAUUAAAUAUCUGGUCAAUAGUGGAACCUUGUCAUAUCAUCAUCUUGUUAAUUGUUUGGUCAUGUAUGCUAAAAAAUCAAAGUACAAAAAGAUGAUGAAGGUAUCAAAAGAAACAAGGAAGCAGGAUCGAAGAUGGACAUUUGCAUUUUACAAGCUAAAUGUACAACCUUUAAUAUAAGNUAUUCAGAGCCAAGUAUAGGGAUUUUUUUUACCAGUUAUGUAUUUGACUAAUAGUUUGUUCUUAAUGGGCCAAACACGUAAAAAUACUAUUUUAGCUAAAAAGGAAACAUUUCAAAUAGAUCAAACAUUUUAAUAGAAAUCCAUAGUAUAUUGAAGUAUUUUCAACCAUCCUAACUUGCUUUAAUUAGUCCAAACAAUUUGAUCAUGUUUUAAUACCCUAAUCUUAUUCAUAUUUAAUAUAUUAAUUAUAUAUGAAAUUGAAAAAAGUGUUUGCAGGUUAGCCCAAUAUGGUUAAACGGUAUCUUAAGGUUUGUGUUUUGAUAUUGCACCCUACAUGCCAAUUUUGCCACAUAUAAGGCUAAUAUAUCUAGAACCAUCGAUUUUUGUGGAAAAGUACGCAAGGUAAUUAGGUAUUGUGACAAACUUACACAUAUUUUAUGAAGAAAUAAAUAGGAGAUAUAAAUAUUCUUUCCCAUGAAUUGCCUACCUUCUUUACUUUUUUGAAGGAUUGGCCAUAGCUAUAUUGUUUUUGUAUUACAAUUUGCAUCGUGGUAUGUUUUUCAUCUUGUUUAACUAUGUUCUUACUCAUAAAAUUGCUUUGUUUGAACUUACGCUUAGUUUCAGGAUUAGUUUGACUAGUAACUUUGAAUAAUAUUUAAUAAGUAGUGGAACCUUGUUGAUGAAAUCAAUGUGAUUAACAUUAAAUAUCUGGUCAAUAGUGGAACCUUGUCAUAUCAUCAUCUUGUUAAUUGUUUGGUCAUGUAUGCUAAAAAAUCAAAGUACAAAAAGAUGAUGAAGGUAUCAAAAGAAACAAGGAAGCAGGAUCGAAGAUGGACAUUUGCAUUUUACAAGCUAAAUGUACAACCUUUAAUAUAUGUUCUCAAGCAGUUAUUGCACCAUGGAGUGCAGUUGAUGCAGAUGAAAGGAAAAACAAUAUGUUGCUUUCUUCAGUGCUACGGGAUUGAAUUCAAAACCCGAUCAUAUAAGCUACAGUCCUACACUAUAUAUGAACAUGAAAUUACUAAGGUAAGCUUUUGUUACAUAUGACAAAACUGAUGACAGGACAACAUCUCUAAGACUAUUCUCAAAGAGGAUGGGGAGUGGGGAGGGGAAGAAAACCUUCCGGUCCUACCCACGCCAACCUUACGGUCCACAUUACAACGCCUUCCGGCCCAUAACAUAUUUGCCUUCCGGCCCAUAACAUAAUGCCUUCCGGCCCAUAUCAAGCAUAUCAUACAUAGCACAUAUAACAAUUCACUUAUCACAUAUAGCACAUAUGUCUCAUAUCAUAUCCGACCUUCCGGUCACACAGUCAAACCCUUCCGGGUACAGUAUAGUGAGAAGACUCACCUCGUGAAUAUCGAUGGCUAGCAAAUCCCGAAAUCACUCGUGCUCGAUCCUCCGAGCUACAAUCUCCCUAUAUCAUCAUACAUCUCUUAUUAACACUUUUACCACUAAGGUUGACUACCCUUUUUAAGUCAACACUAGUCAACUCUUGGUCAACGGUCAACGGUCAACGGUCAACUUUGACUGGACUCGGUGAGUGCACUAGGGCGACUCGGCGAGUCUAGACGUUUUCACCAACUCUCUNUGGUGAGUACAAAUGACGGCCUUAAGGCCCUUUAAAUAGGCCCCAAACCCGAGAAAUUAGGGUUUCAUUAAACAGCGUGGACUCGCCGAGUCCAUACUUUGGACUCGCCGAGUCCAGACGCGAANNNNNNNNNNNNNNNNNNNNNNNNNNNNNNNNNNNNNNNNNNNNNNNNNNNNNNNNNNNNNNNNNNNNNNNNNNNNNNNNNNNNNNNNNNNNNNNNNNNNNNNNNNNNNNNNNNNNNNNNNNNNNNNNNNNNNNNNNNNNNNNNNNNNNNNNNNNNNNNNNNNNNNNNNNNNNNNNNNNNNNNNNNNNNNNNNNNNNNNNNNNNNNNNNNNNNNNNNNNNNNNNNNNNNNNNNNNNNNNUGUUACAAUUCUCCCCCACUAGGAUUAGACUUCGCCCUCGAAGUCUCGCUCUAAAAUAGCUCCGGAUGCUGAGCCCGCAUCUCGCGCUCCGGCUCCCAGGUCAUCUCUGAUCCCUUCCGGUGUUGCCACUGAACCAACACCAGAGGUACCUCCUUGUUCCUCAGAACCUUGAUCUUCCGAUCUCUGAUGGCUACUGGUCUCUCGGCAUAAUUCAGGCUCGCAUCCACCUGAAUAUCCUCUAAUGGAACUACUGCCGACUCAUCGGCAAUACAUUUCCUCAAUUGCGACACAUGAAAAGUGUCGUGGAUUUGCCCCAACUCUGCUGGCAAUUCCAAACGAUAGGCUACCCGGCCUACCCUCGCGAUCACACGGAAUGGACCAAUAUAGCGGGGCCCUAGCUUGCCCCUCUUUCUGAACCGAAUCACUCCUUUCCAAGGAGAGACCUUCAGGAGAACGAGAUCGCCGACAUGAAACUCAAGCUCGGACCGGCGUCUGUCCGCAUAACUUCUCUCUCGGCUCUGGGCGGUCAACAACCUCUGUCUGACCUGCUGAAUCUGCUCUAUCGUCUGAAGCACGAUCUCUGUACUACCCAUCACUCUCUGUCCAACCUCUCCCCAGCAAAUGGGGGUCCGACACCUCCUCCCAUACAACAGCUCAAAGGGUGGCAUACCAAUGCUCGAAUGAUGGCUGUUGUUGUAGGAAAACUCUGCCAAGGGUAAAUACGCAUCCCAGCUACCCCCGAAAUCCAACACACAUGCUCGAAGCAUGUCCUCAAGCGUCUGAAUCGUCCGCUCACUCUGACCGUCUGUCUGGGGAUGAUAUGCGGUACUAAAAUGCAAUCUAGUACCCAACUCCUCAUGAAAUUUCUUCCAGAAUCUGGAAGUAAAGCGCACAUCACGGUCUGAAACAAUCGAGAUCGGCACCCCAUGCCGAGAUACCACUUCUCUCACAUAUAACUCUGCCAACUUCUCUGCUGAAGAACUCUCACUGAUGGCAAGGAAGUGAGCGCUCUUCGUCAACCUAUCCACAAUCACCCAAAUUGCAUCAACUCCCCUGGCAGUUCUCGGCAAUUUGGUGAUGAAAUCCAUAGUGAUCUGUUCCCAUUUCCAUUCGGGAACCUCCAAUGGCUGCAACUUGCCAUGCGGUCUCUGGUGCUCGGCCUUAACCCUACGGCAGGUCAAGCACCUCUCAACAAACCAUGCGACGUCCCUCUUCAUACAGGGCCACCAAUACUCUCUCCUCAAAUCCAAAUACAUCUUCGUAGCCCCCGGAUGGAUCGAAAAUUUCGACCGAUGAGCCUCCUCCAUCAAGGAAGUGCGCGUACCACCCACGAACGGUACCCAAAUCCGACCCUGAAAAGUCAUAAGCCCUCGCCCAUCCGUAACGAAUUCUGAAACCAAACCAACGACCCGUUCCCUCUUCUGCAUCUCCGGCUGCACAGCCUCGGCCUGUGCCCCACGAAUGGCAUCCAAUACCGGAGCUAUCAUGGUCAAUCUCAAACAUACAUCUCGCAAUGGAGUGCUCUCCGCCCUGCGGCUCAACGCAUCGGCCACCACGUUGGCCUUGCCCGGGUGGUACAGGAUCUCACAAUCAUAAUCCUUGACCACAUCUAACCACCUCCUCUGACGCAUGUUUAGAUUGGGCUGAUCCAUCAAGUACUUCAAGCUCUUAUGGUCCGUGUAUAUCGUACAUCGAACCCCAUAUAAGUAGUGGCGCCAAAUCUUGAGGGCGAACACUACUGCCCCCAACUCUAGAUCAUGCGUGGGAUAUCUUGUCUCAUGAGGCUUCAGCUGCCUCGAUGCAUAUGCUAUCACAUGACCCCUCUGCAUCAACACCGCACCCAACCCCAAAAUCGAUGCAUCACAAUAUACUACAAAAUCCUCCAUCCCUUCCGGGAGAGCUAAUACCGGGGCUUCGCACAACCUCUGGCGAAGUGUCUCAAAGGAGGUCUGCUGCUCGGGACCCCAUGAGAAUGCAACACCCUUCCGGGUCAACCUGGUGAGCGGCACUGCGAUCUUGGAGAAAUCCUUGAUAAAUCUCCGAUAAUACCCUGCUAAUCCAAGGAAGCUCCUGAUCUCAGAGGGUGACUUUGGCACCUCCCAACCCAUCACCGCCUCAACCUUGGCCGGAUCGACCAGAAUCCCUUCCUGGUUAACGAGAUGUCCUAGGAACUGGACCUCCCGUAACCAGAAAUCACACUUGGAGAACUUUGCAUAAAGCUUCUCCGAUCUCAGUACCCCAAGGACCUCCCUCAAAUGUUCCUCAUGCUGCUCCCUAGAUCUCGAAUACACCAGAAUAUCAUCGAUAAAUACAAUCACCGACCGAUCCAACAUCGGCCUACAUACCCUGUUCAUGAGAUCCAUGAACACCGCCGGGGCAUUGGUGAGCCCAAAAGGCAUCACCACAAACUCAUAAUGCCCAUAACGCGUCCUGAAAGCUGUCUUCUGGACGUCCUCAUCUCGCACCCUCACCUGAUGAUAUCCCGACCUCAAAUCGAUCUUGGAAAACCAAGAUGCUCCCUGCAACUGAUCAAAUAAAUCGUCGAUCCUCGGCAACGGGUAACGGUUCUUGACCGUCAGCUUGUUCAACUCCCGGUAAUCAAUACACAUCCGGUGUGAACCAUCCUUCUUCUUGACAAACAGAAUAGGUGCUCCCCACGGCGAGCUGCUCGGCCGAAUAAAUCCCUUCCCCAGCAACUCCUGAAGCUGCGAGGAUAACUCUUGCAUCUCUGGAGGUGCAAGACGAUAAGGCACCUUAGCUAUAGGCGCAGCCCCCGGAACCAAAUCAAUACCAAACUCUACUUGCCUCACAGGAGGUACUCCCGGCAGCUCCUCGGGAAAGACAUCUGGAAACUCACAUACCACCGGUACCUCCCCAACUGAACUCGGUCUCUCGGAAGUCGCUCGCGUAUCCAUCACAUACGCCACAAAACCCUUACAGCCCUGCUGUAGACACUGUCUCGCCCUGGCGGCCGAACAAAAGGCUGAUCCCGAACGUGUACCCUCACCGUACACCGAAAGAACUCCCCCACUAGGGUCUCGUAUAGUCACCAGCUGACGCUCACAGUCGAUAAUCGCGCCGAAUCGGCUCAACCAGUCCAUGCCCACAAUGACAAAGACAUCACCCAUCGCAAUAGGAAUCAGAUCAAUCGGAAACUCAACCCCGAAAAUCUCUAACACACAUCCCCGGAGAACCUCCGUGGCACAAAUCACUCUCUCGUCAGCUAUAGAAACUCUCAGAGGCCGACUCAACGACUCACGACUAACGCUGAUAUGCUGACUAAAAGCCAAAGAUACAAAGGACCGACUCGCACCCGAGUCAAAUAACACUAAAGCAGGCACAGAGUUCACAAGGAAAGUACCUACGCAUAACAUAAUAUAAGCAUAAUAUCUCGACAUCAAAAUAAAUACAUGAAAGAAAAACAUACCAGCCACAACAUCGGGCGCAGCGCGGACCUCCUGCGCAGUCAGCUGGAAGGCUCUCCCACGAGCCCUCGGGGCCUCGGCCUUCACUGGUCGUGUCUCAGUAGCCCUGGCAGUUGGCAGAUCCCUGNNNNNNNNNNNNNNNNNNNNNNNNNNNNNNNNNNNNNNNNNNNNNNNNNNNNNNNNNNNNNNNNNNNNNNNNNNNNNNNNNNNNNNNNNNNNNNNNNNNNNNNNNNNNNNNNNNNNNNNNNNNNNNNNNNNNNNNNNNNNNNNNNNNNNNNNNNNNNNNNNNNNNNNNNNNNNNNNNNNNNNNNNNNNNNNNNNNNNNNNNNNNNNNGACUUAGUCCGUUUGGCUGCCGGCUGAGACUGAGCCGGCCGCCGAUCCACCCGUUGAGACUCGGCCUCCUACCUGGCCUGGGUCUCCAACUCAAUUUCACGCUUCCUGGCAUUUGCCUGAAGCUCAGCAAAGGUAUGAUAUGUUGAAUUCGACACGAACUCCCGGAUAUCCCUCCUCAACACACUCAAAUACCGGCUCAUCCGAGCCUGCUCUGUGGACACCUGUUCGGGGCAGAACAUNNNNNNNNNNNNNNNNNNNNNNNNNNNNNNNNNNNNNNNNNNNNNNNNNNNNNNNNNNNNNNNNNNNNNNNNNNNNNNNNNNNNNNNNNNNNNNNNNNNNNNNNNNNNNNNNNNNNNNNNNNNNNNNNNNNNNNNNNNNNNNNNNNNNNNNNNNNNNNNNNNNNNNNNNNNNNNNNNNNNNNNNNNNNNNNNNNNNNNNNNNNNNNNNNNNNNNNNNNNNNNNNNNNNNNNNNNNNNNNNNNNNNNNNNNNNNNNNNNNNNNNNNNNNNNNNNNNNNNNNNNNNNNNNNNNNNNNNNNNNNNNNNNNNNNNNNNNNNNNNNNNNNNNNNNNNNNNNNNNNNNNNNNNNNNNNNNNNNNNNNNNNNNNNNNNNNNNNNNNNNNNNNNNNNNNNNNNNNNNNNNNNNNNNNNNNNNNNNNNNNNNNNNNNNNNNNNNNNNNNNNNNNNNNNNNNNNNNNNNNNNNNNNNNNNNNNNNNNNNNNNNNNNNNNNNNNNNNNNNNNNNNNNNNNNNNNNNNNNNNNNNNNNNNNNNNNNNNNNNNNNNNNNNNNNNNNNNNNNNNNNNNNNNNNNNNNNNNNNNNNNNNNNNNNNNNNNCUCCUCGUCACUCACACUGCUCGUACUAGGUCUGUGGCGUGGUCCAACCAUGAUGCCUCUGAAAUACAACAUAGAAUUAUCAGAGACUCUAUCGAGCAUAAUCGCACUCGAUAACGCAACCCUACUCAGUCUCCGAUACCCAGGGAUUCUUACUUUGGUCGCCCACUGACCCGGUGUCUUCGGUAGUACGGGCCCAAUACUACCGACUACACCGCAUCAGCAUUCAUCCCAAGUCCUCCUCCCCAAACCCCGGAUCCUGAGUACUCUACUCUCGUCAUGCACUAACUACCCGCUCGCUCUCCAAGCAUCUCAUAGCAAUAGAUUCCCUAGACUAAGGCAUCAUAAAUCAGGCCACUCUAGUCCUAUCAUGAAUACCUAGUCUUCUAGCAUGCAUAACAUUUCAUACCAUAUCAUAUCAUAUCACUUAACACAACAUUGUAAGGGUAUUUUGGGGAUUUUUACCGUUCGGGCGCUAGCUGAUCGUACACACUGCUUCAUUCUUGUUUACCACAAAAUCCUUUAUAAAAAUUUUAUGCCUUUGUUUUUAAAAGUUUUCCUCAAAUCCUCGGUUUGAGUUCAGUUACGCCCGAAGGUGUACCCGAAUCCCUCAAACCAAGGCUCUGAUACCAAAUUGUAACAACGGAAAUUUUAAAACAAAUUUUUCAUUUCUAAAAAUGUAUUUUCAUCCAAAACAAGGCAUAAAUAUCCAACGUAUCAUGUCAUAAUACAAAUCCCAAGAUCAUAAAUCAUCCAUCAGUGUGUACAGAUCACGCCGGCGCCUUCCCACGGUCCUCGCUAGUACCUGAAACACAUACACAACAACUGUAAGCAUAAAUGCUUAGUGAGUUCCCCAAAAUACAACUUACGCACAUACGCCUUUCCAGGCCCUGACCUUCCGGUCCAUGUGUCUCAGGGGACUUCCGUCCCUGCUGGGUAAACCUUCCGGUCCUACCCACGCCAACCUUACGGUCCACAUUACAACGCCUUCCGGCCCAUAACAUAAUGCCUUCCGGCCCAUAUCAAGCAUAUCAUACAUAGCACAUAUAACAAUUAACUUAUCACAUAUAGCACAUAUGUCUCAUACCAUAUCCGACCUUCCGGUCACACANNNNNNNNNNNNNNNNNNNNNNNNNNNNNNNNNNNNNNNNNNNNNNNNNNNNNNNNNNNNNNNNNNNNNNNNNNNNNNNNNNNNNNNNNNNNNNNNNNNNNNNNNNNNNNNNNNNNNNNNNNNNNNNNNNNNNNNNNNNNNNNNNNNNNNNNNNNNNNNNNNNNNNNNNNNNNNNNNNNNNNNNNNNNNNNNNNNNNNNNNNNNNNNNNNNNNNNNNNNNNNNNNNNNNNNNNNNNNNNNNNNNNNNNNNNNNNNNNNNNNNNNNNNNNNNNNNNNNNNNNNNNNNNNNNNNNNNNNNNNNNNNNNNNNNNNNNNNNNNNNNNNNNNNNNNNNNNNNNNNNNNNNNNNNNNNNNNNNNNNNNNNNNNNNNNNNNNAUAUAUAUAUAUAUCAUACAUAACCAAUCAAUCAAUAAAAGUGCUAUGUGCCAACCAUAGUCUUGUCAUUAUGCUACGAGCCACCUCAUGGUCUUUUUGUCAGGCCAGGGACCAAAACCAUGGAUCUUAUAGAUAAGUGUCAGGAUCCACCUCCUGGUCUUCCAUGAAAGCAUCACAAAGACAACUAGCAUACAAUCUUCAACUACUCAACUAAUUAUCUGCCAGAGUUAAUCAAUAAAAGUGCUAUGUGCCAACCAUAGUCUUGUCAUUAUGCUACGAGCCACCUCAUGGUCUUUUUGUCAGGCCAGGGACCAAAACCAUGGAUCUUAUAGAUAAGUGUCAGGAUCCACCUCCUGGUCUUCCAUGAAAGCAUCACAAAGACAACUAGCAUACAAUCUUCAACUACUCAACUAAUUAUCUGCCAGAGUUAAAACCCUUGUCCUACAUACAGUUUUCUAGUAGCCUCCUCCCGGUCUUUCAUACAAAAUGCUAGAGGUUACCCCCGGGUCUUACUACAAAACAUAAACCGGAUGGGCCAACAUUGGUUUUUUCAACCCAUAGAACAGUGAGGAGACUCUUCUCGAAUGUAGAAGUUCACUGAAAGACCAGACCAAUUGUUUUUUUAUACUAUAUUAAGUUUUUAGGCCCAAAUGCAAAGGAAGUCUAGACCAAUCCUCUAAUCAAGAUCAGUCGUAGAAUCGUAGUUCACUCACGAAAGAUGCAAAAUGAUCAUUCAACAAGGGUUGAUUACUCAAAUUAAUCACUGGGGCAUUCGAUCGUCCACUCUUACAUCUGUGCUAAUCAGGUAAUUGAUUUCUAGUUUUGUGAUAGAUUAUUUGAUUUCUUCAGAAAUUUUGUUAAUCGUAUUUUAUGAUAAUUAGGUUUUAGGUGUCAUAUGUGUAAAAUAUAAUGUGAAUUUAUUUAGUUUCUUUAAAGGGAUGAAUGAAUAGUAUGUAUUGAAUUUAAUACGAAUGAAGUUUAUAGACUUACAGUUAGGCAAAUAGCAUGUAAAGCGGGCAUAUACAUACCAAUUGAAUUUAGUAUCUAUCUUGUACAAAGAACACAUAUUACCCCCAAGUUGUUGAAUUUGAUCAUAAAGCUACAGCUAUGUCAAGUUGCACAAAUUUAGUUUCAACUUUGAGUAAUUAGUCAACACUAAUACUGUAACAUCCCGAGAUUUUGCAGGUAUUUCUGAACCCUCUUCUAUCAUCAAUUUGUCAAUUAUAGCCCUUGGGAUUUAGAAUGAAGAGCAAAGAUAAGUUUAAGGGCCAAGUUUGCAAAUUUGGGCCAAAAGGGAGUACGUUGCGCGUACAUAAGAAUACGCUAAGCGUACUAAGGUCCGCCUUAGUACGCUGGGUGUACUAACGUCAGGAAUGAAACCCUAAUAUUUAGGGUUUGGGGCCUAUAUUAAAUACAUUAUAAGCUCCAGAACCUCCCCUACCUCAGCCUCCACAUAACAAACUCGUCUUUCCCAAAACCUAGUGUAACAUCCCAAAAAUACAUGCCAAAAAUUUCAUUUUAAUUAUGUUAUUACAUAAAACCAUCAGUAUAAAAACAUUGAUAAUAACGUCUCAUGUCAAAACCCAAGUGUCAGUAAUCUAAAACAUAGUAUCAUAAAACCAUAUCAGAGAGUAAUUCUAAAGAAUCUCAUGUGCGGAAAACAUAGUAUGAUGCGCUACGAUCGAGCCGACUCCUUUCCUUUGAAAAUGAAGUACCUGAAACCAAAACUGAAAACUAUAAGCACAAAGCUUAGUGAGUUCCCCCAUCAUACCACAUACCAUACAAUCACAAAGCAUACAUACUGUCGGGCAGUUCUGAGGUGCCUGGCCUACCCGGUACGGCCAUUCUGGGGUGCCGACCUACCUGAUGCGGCCAUUCUGGGGUGCCGACCUACCCGUGUCAAGCCAUUUUGGGGUGCUUACCUACCCAUGUCAAGCCAUUCUGGGGUGCUGACCUACCCAAAAUUCUUGUAUAUUCAAGAUCAACACCUUUCAUAACUUGAAUCACAUUCUCAUUAGAAUCACCACCGCCAUUACUCUCAUACCACUUUUCUUCACCAUUAACAAUUGCUUGCAACUCUUUUAGGCAAUGAGGGAUGAUACCCGUUAAGUUGUUGUACCCAACAUCCAAAUUGAGGACAACUCUCUUAUGCACUCUACAACAUGAACUCGCUGAGUCCAUGGGGGGACUCGACGAGUCCAUGAGUAAACUCAUCCUACUCGUCGAGUAGGUUCUUGCACUUGACGAGUAGGAGCCACAUAAUGCAGUUUUUUCGAGUUUUGUUGCUGGAAAUGGACUAGAAACAUUACCCUAAACUGUUUUGCUAAUAGAAAACUUGUUUUAGAUGGUGUAAUGGUUAUGCUAAUCCAUUUUCAAUAGCUAUUAUCAGAACUUCAAGUUUUAUAUGGUUAAUUUUAUGAUUCUUGAAAUCGUUGAUAUGCAUGUUCAUGAACUUGUGAGUUUAGAAGAUCAUAGGAAUUAUUUGUAACUUGCUUGUUAGUUUAAAUCUUGAUCAUUAUGUGUUUUAAUGGAAUCUAUAAUUUGUCCUCAAGUUAUGGAUUGCCAAAAGUCACACUUUUAAAGACCAUUAAAGAAACACAUAAGUUACAUAAAAUGAAAAGUCACUCAUUUUAUUAAACCAUUAAUUCAUAAAUUAUGAAAGAUGAAAACUUUUGAAAGUUACAAAACUUUCCCUCAAGUUUUGGAACAUGUAAAGUCACUCUAAAAACUUUAGUUCCAACCCCUAGAAUUUUAAAAGUUAAAAUUCAACCGUUAUACUUUAUAAUAUUAUAUUAUAAGUUUAAUAAUAAUUAUAUAUGUAUAAGAAAAAUUCGUUUUACCGUUAGUAGGCCUCAUUCAUGAAGUUGGUCUAUAAAGGGGGUCAUAAGGUUGCUGCCUAUAAAAUGACAGCUUAAUGGGUGUCCACUCUCACCCACCGCUUCCUUGAUCGGUGGAGGAUUGUUAGCCGAACGCAUAAGAUAAGGACUUUAAAUCUUCAUUAAAAGUAUGAUAAAUAUAAAAAAAAACUAAAUGUUUGUAUAAAUUCUCAAUCUUAGUUACUUUAGGAAAAUGUGAAUAAGGUGCUAACCCAUGAAAUUACACUUUGCACUUUGAUUAAGUCGUUAGUGGAGCGUGUGUAGUUAACCAGCAUACUAACAUGGACUUAACAAUGUAGUCAAAGGGUAACUUAAUAUUUAUCAUAGUAUCGGUGGAGCGCGUGUGGUUAACCGGCACAUCGAUUGCAAGGUAAAUAUUAAGGGUACCAAGUAAUUUGCAUGGUUACUUCACACCUUGUUUUGUGAUCCUCGGCAUCCCAGCCACAAAACCUGAAGGGCACACUCGAGAUUGAAACAUGCCAUUGAAAAGUUCAAUGAAUCUCAAAGAAUCUAGGAGUUUCAAAACCA